rnacentral:sRNA from 1 species
CUCAUGCCUAGGCUGAUCACCGAAAACCGGAUUCCUUUCACCGGCUGGCAUGGGUUCUUUAUUUGAAAGG